CGGUGCCUCCCCGCGCACCUGCGCCGCUGCCGGGGGCGCGCGGCCCGGCUGGGGCGGGAGCGGCGCGCGGCCCGCGGCGCUGAGGGCCCCGGAGCGCCCGCGGCACGGGCGGGCUCGGAGGCGAUUCUGGCAUAAAAGCGCGCCAGCCCGGCUCUGGGCUCCCAUCGUACGUGCUGAACUCCUGGUUUCCACCCCCACUUCACUAAGAAGCUGGUGCUAAAAAACACCCAGCAAAUAUGUUUAUUUAAUAAAUGGACAGAAUACCUCCUACUUUAAUCCUUCAUUACAUGAGGUGCUGCAUAUAUCCAAAAGGAAGUACCAGGACAGGAAGAAGCACACAGCACUCAGUUCACAGAGUCAGAGUUGGCAUAUGGUUAAUGAAAUGCUUAAAAGACAAAUACAGUGCACUGAAACCUGCCGUGAGAGCAUUUCAAAGACAGUCACAAGAGACAAAGCACUGAAGCUCCACUAAUUUGCAGGGACUUGCCCAUUCCUGUGGCUGGCAGGAGCAGGGAGCCUGUGCCUGUGUGGUGUGCACAGCUGGGUCUUCGAUGUGUUCCCACCAUUUUUGGCAACAACCGAGAGGUGAUACCCAUCCAGUAUACAGGGCUCACUGUGAGAACGAGCAGGAUGUUGAUCUGUAAUCACUUUGUGUAAAUCAAGUUAAGUGCACACCUCGAAGAGGAAAUUCAGUUGCUCAUCUCUCCUAAAAAGGCACAGCAGCAAUAGAAACAGAUUUCACAGAGAUUGCAAUGAAUGGAAAUAAAAUUUUAUGGGAGAUAUGUCUAUGCUCCCAGGAGGGUUGUGAAAAAUCUGAAGUCUCUGCUUUAGUAUAAUAAUGUAGAUAGUACAGUGAUAAUGUCACAGCUCCUUGAGCCUAGUGCUCAGAGGCAACAGCUAAGACAAGUCCCCACUGAGACAAUGAAAUAGACCACAAACAAUUUGUUUCGUGUUCUCCAACCACUGUUUGGUAAUUUAUCAAUGCUCCUAAUAAUAGGAGCUUGUGAGUGCUGCUUAUAACUCCUGGUCACAUACAGAACAAAUAGUAUGGAAUAUUCUCUGGCUUUCUGAAAGCAUCUUUCUUAGUUGAGUGAAAAGAGAGACCUGCUGGCUCCCUAGAUAGAGGGGAGGGGUUUAUUUUUAUUUUUUAAAGAAGGAAACAAUUUGUUAUUAAUUUUAGUAAGAUAACUGAGCUCAAAUGUAGUUGUAAUAUCUUUAAUGAGGUAAUUAAUUGAUUAACAAUGAUCCUGAAGAAAAACAACGAAUACAUGUUUUGACAGAUAAAUUAUCUUGGUCUUUUUAAACCACAGAAGACUGGUAAAGCCUACUGAGCAUUUGUGCAGUCCACUGAUCUCAUUCUCUGCAGUGCUUGCUUUGCUUCCUACCAGAAGUCUGUCCCAAGCACUUCAUUUUAGCUCUAUAGUUGUGAGGCAUUUGUGAGUUUUCAAAAACUGUGUCACUGGCUGGAUCUUUAACCUGUCUGUUUAGUCAACAGGCAUCUGGAGUGCACAGUAAUAUGGCCCAGCAAAAUAAAACACAAAUUUGCUCUCAGAAUUAUAUAUGACCCAAUUCUUUGCUUGCAAAGAAGGUCAUAGUUCUGAGUGGCUUUCCAUUUGGAGACUUCCCAGGCACUAAGAGUUUUGAGCUAAGACUUGUUUUUGCCCCUAUUCCAACCCAACAGCACUCCCAAGUGUAGUACAUGCAAACCCUGAUAUAGCGGGUCCUACAGCUUUGCCAGCUGUGUGGCAACUGCAUCCAGUCCCUGUGCAUGUUUGGAUUUUGACCAAUAUAUUAAAUUUUGAUUUGAAGCAAGAGGGUGUUAAAAAUCAGCUUUCCAGAAGGGAAUGGAAAGAGUAGAUACUCCUUUGCUUUGAUUUCUGGUAUGAAAAGUAAACUGCAGUCAGCAGAAUAUGAAUGAGAGCUAAGCAUUCUAGAUUGGAUUUUUCUCAAGCCCAAACAGAGCUGUUUGGCUGCCAGUGAUAAGGACUACAGAGUUUCAGUGCCUCCAAAGGAGCUCUUUGCCCCCAGGGCCAUGGAUAGUUUCACCAGCUAGCCUGAACUGUGGCAUGAUGGUUUCAGUCUCUUCCAUUGAGAAAUGAUGGGCACCUUAUACUUAAGUAGUGGAUAUUUGUUGCAGUUUCUAAAACUUAAGCCAAAU